rnacentral:rRNA from 1 species
GACGAACGCUGGCGGCGUGCUUAACACAUGCAAGUCGAGCGGUAAGGCCUCUUCGGGGGUACACGAGCGGCGAACGGGUGAGUAACACGUGGGUGACCUGCCCUCAGCUCUGGGAUAAGCCUGGGAAACUGGGUCUAAUACCGGAUAUGACCUUUCCUCGCAUGGGGUUUGGUGGAAAGUUUUUUCGGCUGGGGAUGGGCCCGCGGCCUAUCAGCUUGUUGGUGGGGUGAUGGCCUACCAAGGCGACGACGGGUAGCCGGCCUGGGAGGGCGACCGGCCACACUGGGACUGAGGCACGGCCCAGACUCCUACGGGAGGCAGCAGGGGGGAAUAUUGCGCAAUGGGCGGAAGCCUGACGCAGCGACGCCGCGGGGGAGAUGACGGCCUUCGGGUUGUAAACCUCUUUCGACCCCGACGAAUUUGGACGGUAGGGGUAGAAGAAGCACCGGCCAACUACGUG